rnacentral:rRNA from 1 species
GUCCAUAAAUCAUACAACUUUCAGCAACGGAUCUCUUGGCUCUCGCAUCGAUGAAGAACGCAGCGAAUUGCGAUAAGUAAUGUGAAUUGCAGAUUUUCAGUGAAUCANCGAAUCUUUGAACGCACCUUGCGCUCCUUGGUAUUCCGAGGAGCAUGC